rnacentral:rRNA from 1 species
GCAAGUCGAACGGAAACGAUAGUAGCUUGCUACUAGGCGUCGAGUGGCGGACGGGUGAGUAACGCGUAGGAAUCUACCCAGUUGUGGGGGAUAGCCCGGAGAAAUUCGGAUUAAUACCGCAUACGCCCUACGGGGGAAAACAGGGGAUCUUCGGACCUUGCGCUAUCAGAUAAGCCUGCGUUAGAUUAGCUAGUUGGUGAGGUAAGAGCUCACCAAGGCGACGAUCUAUAGCUGGUCUGAGAGGAUGAUC